UACGUAGGUGGCAAGCGUUGUCCGGAUUUACUGGGUGUAAAGGGCGUGUAGCCGGGCUGACAAGUCAGAUGUGAAAUCCCGUGGCUCAACCACGGAACUGCAUUUGAAACUGUCGGUCUUGAGUAUCGGAGAGGCAGGCGGAAUUCCUAGUGUAGCGGUGAAAUGCGUAGAUAUCACGCAGAACUCCGAUUGCGAAGGCAGCAUACCGGCGCCCUACUGACGCUGAGGCACGAAAGCGUGGGUAUCGAACAGG
rnacentral:rRNA from 1 species